UACGUAGGCAGCGAGCGUUGUUCGGAGUUACUGGGCGUAAAGAGUGCGUAGGCGGUGCUCUAAGUUUGGUGUGAAAUCUCCCGGCUCAACUGGGAGGGUGCGCCGAAAACUGGAGUGCUCGAGUAUGGGAGAGGUAAGCGGAAUUCCUGGUGUAGCGGUGAAAUGCGCAGAUAUCAGGAGGAACACCAAUAGCGAAGGCAGCACACUGGUACGUGACUGACGCUGAGACGCGAAAGCGUGGGGAGCAAACAGG
rnacentral:rRNA from 1 species